rnacentral:lncRNA from 1 species
UUCCAAAUAAUGGGGAACUUUUCUUUCCAGCUUCUCCAGAUUAGAUUGACACCACCCUUUCUGUGAGAGAUGCUUUGGACCCUGAUGGUGAUUGGUUAGAAUUUUUUGCCUGAUGGUUUUGUGCGGGAAGUGCCGAUCUAGUGCAAUAACAAAAAGGAUUAGCUCAUUUGAAAUGAGGAAGUUGAUUUAGGGAUUGGAGGUAAUAGAAGCAUAACUUCUUCUGUCUCAAUUGGAUCAGACCUCAAAAUCUAUGACAAAGGAAGAAAAAGCACAAAAGUGAAUAAGCUAAUAAAAAUCAUAAUCAUGCAAUAUAUGGAAAGAAGAAAGUCAUCCUUUCGUGGCACGAACAAGGUUUAGGUUUGUUAUUCUUGGUGUUGAUGGUGUUUGUUUUUGAGGUUUGUUACGAGAUGGGUCAACAUAAGUUGUCAAAGGUUUG